CAGACCUCUAAUCGGAAAAGACUACCCGCUGAGUUUAAGCAUAUCACUAAGCGGAGGAGAAGAAACUAACCAGGAUUUCCCAGU
rnacentral:rRNA from 1 species